AUUGAACGCUGGCGGCAUGCCUAACACAUGCAAGUCGAACGCGAAAGUCCUUCGGGGCGAGUAGAGUGGCGGACGGGUGAGUAACGCGUGGGAAUCUGCCCUGCAGUGGGGGACAACCCGGGGAAACUCGGGCUAAUACCGCAUACGACCUACGGGUGAAAGGGGGGUUUCGGCCUCUCGCUGCAGGAUGAGCCCACGUCCGAUUAGCUAGUUGGUAGGGUAAAGGCCUACCAAGGCAACGAUCGGUAGCUGGUCUGAGAGGAUGACCAGCCACACUGGGACUGAGACACGGCCCAGACUCCUACGGGUGGCAG
rnacentral:rRNA from 1 species